AAAUAAGGGACCAGGAGAAACCUCCUGUGGGACUUGUAGAUCUAAGAAAUUACAGAGCAGGGAGAAAGUGGUAGUAGUCCCUGUGUCAUAAAUGAUCCUGGAUCUUUUUUAUGUUCAUCCACAUGUCAGAGAGAGAGUCACAGGGAAGAAGUGGAUGCUCUGGCCUUCUCAGAGGGUAAUGCCCGGGCUUUUUCUCAACUAGGCUAUACAGAAAGAAGAAAGUUAGAAGGGUCAUACUGCUUCCCUCAGCCAACCUUCUCCAUCUCCCAGGUUUGUGGUGAGGUAUUCAGGGGAUAAUGCAUGUAUAGGGUUUGGCACCUAGUAAUUGGUCACCCCUUCUUUGACACCAAACUAACAAGGUACUCUCAAGGCCACCAGAGGGCUUCCCUCUGCCGCCCUGCUCCUCCACCUGUUCUUUCAACUCGUAUUUUGUCUAAAACCUAAAGUGAAAUUGAGAUGCCUAAGCUAGAGGCAAGAUGGUGGGAUGAAAAAAGUGUUGAGCUGGAAGUCAGAAGACUGGAUUCUGGCCCUAGCUCUGCUAUCACCUGGGUGUUUGACUUUGGAGACAGAGUCUCACUACAUUGCCCAGGUGGAAGUACAGUGGCUACACACAGGCAUGAUCAUAGUGCACUACAGCCUGGAGUUCCUAACCUCAAGUGAUCCUCCUGCCUCAGCCUCCCGAGUAUCUGGGACUACAGGCAUAUGCAGCAGAAGAUUGCUUUAAAAAAAAAAAAGAUGGCUCUGGGCUUCGGAGACUUAUUUGUAUACAAUGCUGGGGAAUUAUGGUGUAAGCCAUCCAGCUUAUCUUCACAGGUGUGGGACAAAGGACAAAACUCAAACUCAUCCGUCUGCUCACCUGAGACAAAUGCAUAUUUGAUUGCUUCUUCUGAUGUAAAAAUGCAGAUUCACUGAGGAAGAUGAAGGCAUAAGUGACUAUUCCUCUACCCCCUCUCACAUGUAAAUUGUGUAUUCAGUGAAAGGCUGAUCAAAGACUCAAAAAAAUGCAACCAUUUGUCUCUUAUCUUCCCACACCUUUUAAAAAUGUGGUCAUCUUUCCCCAAUAUCCGCCUUUUCCCCCUUUAGACAUUGAAGCCCUCAAAAUUAUCUUUGGAGAAAGGCACAGACCUGCCUCCCAGGUGCACAUCCUUAACCAUGGCAAAAUAAAAUUUCGAAAUUGUUUCUGACCUGUCUUAGGUACUUUUCUGGUUUACAAACUCAACAACAAAAAGAUAAAUAACCCAAUUAACAAAUGGGCAAAGGAGAAAUAGAUAUUUCUCCAAAGAAGAUACACAAAUGGCUAACAAGCACAUGAAAAGAUACUUAACAUCAUUAUUUACUAGAGAAAUGCAAAUCAAAACCACAAUGAGAUACUAUUUCACACCCACUAGCAUGACUAUAAUUUUUUUAAAACAGGAACCUAACAAGUGUUAGCCAGGAUGUGGAGAGAUUGGAACCCUCAUACAUUGCUAGUGGGGAUGUAAUGUAAAGUGGUAUUGCUGUUGGGGAAAACAGUUUGGUAGUUCCUCAAAAACUUAAACAUAGAGUUACCAUAUGACCCAGCAAUUCCACUCCUAGGUAUAUACCCAAAAGAAUUGAAAACAGGUGUUCAAACAAAAAUUUGUACAAGAAUGUUCAUAAUAGCACUAUACACAAUAACCAAAAGGUAGAUAGGACACAAGUGUCUAUCAAUGGAUGAAUGGCUAAACAAAAUGUGGUACAUCCAUAUAAUGAAGUAUUAUUUAGUCAUAAAUAGAAAUGAAGUACUGAUAAAUGUCACGACAUGGAUGAACCUCAAACACAUUAUGCUAAGUGAAAGAAGCCAGCACAAAAGCCACAUAUUGUAUGAUUCCAUUUACGUGAAAUAUCCAGAGUAGGCAAGUACAGAGAUAGAAAGCAGAAUAGUUGUUGUCAGGGGCUGAUGGGAGAUACGAAUGGUGAAUGACUGCUUAAUAGGAACGGGGUUUCCAUUUUGGAGAACCAAACAGGUUCUGGACCUUGAUAGUGGUGAUGAUUGUACAACAUUGUGAAUGUAUGUACUGUCACUGAAUUGUAUACUUUAAAAUGGUUAAAAUGGUAAAUUUUAUGUGAUCUGUAUUUUACUACAAUAAAAAAUGUUAUCUAAUUCAAUCCUUCCACUAGUUCAGAUUAUACAUCCCAAUUCAUCUGAUUUAGUGGCAUUCUGCAGAAAAUACUUGUAGUCAUAGCCCAGAUCCAUAAAACAAUAAGCAUCCAUCCACCUACUACCAGUCUGUGCUUUAACUUUGGUUUUAACCUAAUUUCUUUGUUGACAUAUCUAACUGAGGGCUGCUUCACUUCAUAGGAUCUUUUAACAUCAAAA
rnacentral:lncRNA from 1 species